GGUGGCUCAAUGGUAAAGUGCUUGCCUUGCAUGCAUGAGGCUCUGGGUUCGAUUCCUCAGCACCA
rnacentral:tRNA from 1 species